GCGGCGCGGCGGCGCGGGCGGCGCCGUAGUCGGGGAGGCGGUACUCGUUCAUGACCCAGUCCGUCUUGGUGCCGCGCGGGGCGCGACCCUGGUAGAAGACGAGCGUCUUCUUGAGCCCGAUCACCCGCUUCGGGUCGCCGGAGCUCCGGAUCGCCCUGUCCGACCCCGUCGCCUUCCAGAACCCGCGCUCCGUCGUCCGGUUCGGCCGCCCGCCGUUCCCGGCCUUCCUGUCCCGCGGCACGAAGAAGUACCACUCCCUCUCCCCGAUCUUCGCCAUGCCUGCACAUUUUUACAAGAAACACACACAUCAUCAUCAUCAGAUCAUCCAGCUCAAACACUGUCUCCGUUCUUGCUGAACUCUCACUGUGUGUUGGUGUUUACCUGGGAGGUCCCAGGGAUCAUGGCGGUAGAUGUUGAGGGUGCCGAUGAUGUUGAAGUGGAGCUUCUUGCCUAGGACGACGCGGGAGAGGUAGAAGUCGAGGAGCUCCUCCUCCGUGGGGUGGAAACGGAAGCCCGGGAGGUCCUGCUCCACCUCCAUGGACGGC
rnacentral:sRNA from 1 species